UGAGGUUGGUGUACUGUGUGUGA
rnacentral:ncRNA from 8 species